rnacentral:lncRNA from 1 species
GAGAAUUUCAAAAAAGAUCUUGAAAGACAGGAUAUCAGACAAAACAUUGUUGAAAACACGGGGCUUUAUUUUCAUGCUUAGAAGAUUUUACCUGUAACAUUAACACAAACACAUUUCCCAAUAGUAACUACAGCUGACAUUAGGUAACACUAAGCCUUAUUCUAAGGAUCUGCGCGUUUUAACUCAUUUAUUCCUCACAAUAGUCCUAAUAUUGCUCUGUUCCCAUUUAAACAGACACAGGGCAAUAAGUCUCCUUCUAAUGUUGCACAGGCAGCACCUGGUGCAGCCGGGAGACCAGAGUCCUCCUUCACUUUUUGCCAUUGAGAUCCUAAGGGAUUGGGGCUGCAGAAUUUGUAGAGAUGUGAUCCAGCGGGUAGCAUAUACUCACUCUCAAAACAGGCGGAGCUUCCAAGACUCUCCCUUCACAACUGCUCCCAGGUGACCUGGGAAUGUCCAGAUGGAUUUUUCCCACCUGGUCCUUCCCUUCCCUGACUUCUCUAGCCUCAUUCUCACCAGCUUCAUGACACGAAUUCACUCAAAUGUAUACUAGCCACUUCCUACCCAAAGCCUACCCUGAUAUUUCGGACCAAAAGAAAUUUCUCCCACUCAAGUGAAAAUUCCCUCUCCCUCUUCUGACUUCCCAGAGCCCCUCGUGCAUCUCUCCGGUCCCAUCAGAACUUUCGUUUACUGUAUUUGCAUCUCAAACCUCAUGGAGAUACAAAAGGACACAGAUCUCUUCCCACAAGAAAGGUAGUUGUAGAGAAUAAAACAAUAAUUUGGGCCUGCAUUGCAGUGUAGUAGGUUAAGCCACCACCUGCAGUGCUGUCAUCCCAUAUGGGCUCUGGUUAGAGUCGCAGCUGCUCCACUCCUGAUCCAGUUCUCAGCUCCCUGCCUGUGCACCUGGGAAAGCAGCAGAGGAUGGCCCAAGUACUUGGGACCCUACAGGCACAUGGGGAACCCAGAAGAAGCUCCUGGCUCCUGGCUUCACCUGGCCCUACCCCAGCCCCUGUGGUCAUUUGGGGAAUGAACCAGAGGGUGGAAAACCUCUCUCUCUUUCUCUCCCUCGCUCUCCCUCUCUCUCUCUCUCUCUCUCUGUGUGUGUGUGUAUGUGUCCCUCCCUCCUUCUCUUGUGUGUGUAACUUUUGUUGCACUAUCCAUUUUCAGAAAAUUCUAGUAACGCUCCACCCCUUAAACGGUAACUUCAAAUCCCUUUCCUUCCUUCCCAGGCGGAGGACUCCUACUUGAUGCAUUUUAUUGGCUAGUAGCACCUCAUUAAGGAAAAGUUUACCAUAUUUAUCCAUAGUGCUGCUUUUCUCUCCUCCCCCCACCAAGGUACACGGCAACCAGCAAGGAGGAAGCAUCAUCUUAAUUCGGCAAGUGGAGACUGCUGCAGCACACCACCAUUAGUGAGCUUUGUCCCAGGGAUAAAUCCGCAGUCCCCACCCACUUUGAAUAUGGCCUAGAGAGUUGCUCAAUUAGUUCCAUGAAGGGGGGUGGGGCAUGUUGCUCCUCUCCCC